rnacentral:rRNA from 1 species
GAGUGAAAUAGAUCCUGAAACCGUGUGCCUACAAGUAGUCAGAGCCCGUUAACGGGUGAUGGCGUGCCUUUUGUAGAAUGAACCGGCGAGUUACGAUCCCGUGCAAGGUUAAGCAGAAGAUGCGGAGCCGCAGCGAAAGCGAGUCUGAAUAGGGCGCAUGAGUACGUGGUCGUAGACCCGAAACCAGGUGAUCUACCCAUGUCCAGGGUGAAGUUCAGGUAACACUGAAUGGAGGCCCGAACCCACGCACGUUGAAAAGUGCGGGGAUGAGGUGUGGGUAGGGGUGAAAUGCCAAUCGAACCUGGAGAUAGCUGGUUCUCUCCGAAAUAGCUUUAGGGCUAGCCUCAAGGUAAGAGUCUCGGAGGUAGAGCACUGAUUGGACUAGGGGCCCCUACCGGGUUACCGAAUUCAGUCAAACUCCGAAUGCCGAUGACUUAUCCUUGGGAGUCAGACUGCGAGUGAUAAGAUCCGUAGUCGAAAGGGAAACAGCCCAGACCGCCAGCUAAGGU